rnacentral:rRNA from 1 species
AGGGUGACAGCCCCGUACACAAAAAUGCACAUGCUGUGAGCUCGAUGAGUAGGGCGGGACACGUGGUAUCCUGUCUGAAUAUGGGGGGACCAUCCUCCAAGGCUAAAUACUCCUGACUGACCGAUAGUGAACCAGUACCGUGAGGGAAAGGCGAAAAGAACCCCGGCGAGGGGAGUGAAAAAGAACCUGAAACCGUGUACGUACAAGCAGUGGGAGCACGCUUAGGCGUGUGACUGCGUACCUUUUGUAUAAUGGGUCAGCGACUUAUAUUCUGUAGCAAGGUUAACCGAAUAGGGGAGCCGAAGGGAAACCGAGUCUUAACUGGGCGUUAAGUUGCAGGGUAUAGACCCGAAACCCGGUGAUCUAGCCAUGGGCAGGUUGAAGGUUGGGUAACACUAACUGGAGGACCGAACCGACUAAUGUUGAAAAAUUAGCGGAUGACUUGUGGCUGGGGGUGAAAGGCCAAUCAAACCGGGAGAUAGCUGGUUCUCCCCGAAAGCU